ensembl:lncRNA
AUUAGCUUCUUGAUUAUUGAAACGUUUUACAUGUUGGUGUGAAUAACUACAUUUUUCAUCCCUGCAGGCAAUAGAAUACUACUCGGGCUGCUCUUAAUAAAUUUGAAAAGUCUGGACGUCUGCUCCAGAUGGAUCACUAUGUUACUAGUGUGAUCCUUGAAGGCACAAGACAACAAAUGUCUCGACACCAAAUGAGAAAUGUGGACUUUAAAUGUUUUGAUGGUGCAGUGUCUUUUGUAAAUAUCAAUGACAGUCACUGGAGGUUUGUCAAUCUUCAUGCUCCGUCAAACCAAGUGUUUGUCAUUGACCCUGCUGCUUCAGCAAUUGACCAUGAGAUCUCAAAAAAGGCUGCAAUGACUUACUGAUUGUAUUUCAAAAUGCGGCAAAACAUACAAGGCAGACAGCACUGGAACAGCAUUAUGUGGACAGCAGGAACCAUAAAGCACAAUGAAGAAAAGAGCAGCACAAGUUGUGGAGUGUUUUUGAUGCAGAUGGCAAGAAAGGUUGCUGAAAGUUUUCCAAAAAUUCCUGCAUCAAUGACCAUAAAUCCAACAAGCAACAGCAUAAGAAAGCUGCGGGCUGAAAUGGCAGAGACAAUGCUCCCUUCCUCAGAACCAAGAGACGAGUAUUGCUCAAUGUGUGGACUCAAAGAUGUCCCAAAAACUGCAACAACUGAAGCAAUUGUUAUUGACUGG